UACGUAGGGGGCUAGCGUUGUCCGGAUUUAUUGGGCGUAAAGAGCGUGUAGGCGGCCAGGUAGGUCUGGUGUGAAAACUCGAGGCUUAACCUCGAGAUGUCAUCGGAAACCAUCUGGCUAGAGUCCGGAAGAGGCGAGUGGAAUUCCUGGUGUAGCGGUGAAAUGCGCAGAUAUCAGGAGGAACACCGGUGGCGAAGGCGACGUCCUGGACCGGCAUUGACGCUGAGGCGCGAAAGCCAGGGGAGCAAACGGG
rnacentral:rRNA from 1 species